UUUGACAUUUGAAAAUUCCCUGUAUUACGAAAUCAUAGAAAUAGAAAUAUAACAUUUUCUGUAAGUUUCCGUCACAUAAUCGACUUCACGGCAGCCCAUGAUGUUGACCCAUAUACCAUUAAUAGAAUACAUUAGAUGACUUCAAGUUGCACCAACUCUGGAUAAGUACAAUGGACUUCGUGGUGGGCGGUCUCGCUGGGGUUGGGGCUGGCUUUUUCAGCAACCCAUUCGACGUAGUGAAGACCCGUAUGCAGUUACAAGGGGAGCUCAGGGCUAGGGGGAAACAUGCAGUCCACUAUAAAAACGUGCCUCAUGCGAUGUUCAACAUAGUGAAACAUGAUGGAGUGGCUGCGUUACAGAAAGGACUUGUGCCUGCGUUGUGGUUCCAACUUGUCGUAAACGGGGUAAGAUUAGGCAUCUACCAACACGCAGACAACUAUGGCCUCCUUAGAGACGAAGAGAACAAAACUCAAUUCGUGAACAGUCUGUUCUUCGGCUGCAUAUCAGGCAUGUGUGGAGGACUCUGUGGAAGUCCACUACAGCUUGUGAAGACCCAGCUGAUGUCCUACUCCUCACAGAAGAUAGCUGUCGGCACACAGCAUGCACACCCAGGCAUGAUGUAUGCUAUGAAGAAGAUUUAUAAGAAGAAUGGAUUGUCAGGGUUGUGGAGAGGGGCCCAUGGAAUGAUGAUGAGGAAUUCUAUUGGGAGCGCCUCUCAAAUUGCUUCGUUUGCUGUAUGUAAAGAAUGGAUGGAUAACAACGACGUGUUUCAGCAAUCUAAAUAUUUGUCGGCGUUCGUAGCGAGCAACAUCGGUGCACUCGUGAAGACUGUGUUUCUGAACCCCAUGGAUGUUAUCAUGACUAGGCUUUAUAAUCAAGCCGUCGACGCGAACGGGCGGGGGGUCAUGUAUUCGGGCAUAGCCGACUGUGCAAGGAAAAUCGUCAAAGCGGAGGGGGUCUUAGCUUUUGGAAAAGGCAUGGGCCCCUCUUACUUGCGACAAGCACCCCAUACAGUACUGCUUCUAGUAUUCUGGGAUAUGCUAAAAGAUUUGCAAAAGAGUCUUGAAUUGCAUACGUAGUUUUUUUUUUGCAGAUGCCUCGAAGUAUCCGUGCCUCAGUGUAGAAUAGGAAAGUGAGAUUAUUCAGAUUUAAGAUUGUUUUUACAUUAGUAGCAAUUUUUAUUUUUACUUUUGUUAAUUUUUUAAUUAGGUAGGUAAGUUAUUUAUGUAGAUGAUGUGUGUUAUUGCCAUCUUUUAUCUUUUUAAUCAUAUUAGCGCAACGCAGGAAUUAUACAAUUAUCUUAGUUCAGACAGAUAUCGGAAAAGAUUUUAUACUAAAAGAUAAUGUAUCAGUAGUUACUGAUAAUUCUCAAAUUAUUUCUUAGUUACUUAAAUGUCUUCCUUGCCAGUGUCAGAAAAUUUUCAAUAUGAAGUUCACUACAGUCCCAAGAAUAUCAAUGAAUAUAUAAUCCCGAUGCCAUUCAAUAUAAAAAUCCGAAAAAAAAACGUACAACUGAUGAAUGUAAUUUUAUCCCG
rnacentral:misc_RNA from 1 species